rnacentral:rRNA from 1 species
GGACGAACGCGGGCGGCGUGCCUAAUGCAUGCAAGUCGCACGCACGGAGCUUGCUCCGUGAGUGGCGCACGGCUGAGGAACACGUGGGCACCGACCCCGCCGUGGGGGAUAACGCACCGAAAGGCGCGCUAAUCCCGCAUACGGUCCCGUGCAAACGGGAAGAAAGCGGCAACGCGCGGUGGGACGGGCCUGCGGCCCAUCAGGUAGUCGGCGGGGUAACGGCCCACCGAGCCGAUGACGGGUAGCUGGUCUGUGAGGACAACCAGCCAGACUGGGACUGAGACACGGCCCAGACUCCUACGGGAGGCAGCAGCAAGGAAUUUUCCCCAAUGGGCGCAAGCCUGAGGGAGCAACGCCGCGUGCGGGACGACGGCCUUCGGGUUGUAAACCGCUUUUCGGUGGGAAGAUGAUGACGGUACCACCGGAACAAGCCUCGGCUAACUCUGUGCCAGCAGCCGCGGUAAGACAGAGGAGGCAAGCGUUGUCCGGACUGACUGGGCGUAAAGCGCGCGCAGGCGGAAGCGGGCGUCGGUGCUGAAAGUCCACCGCUUAACGGUGGAUGGCGUGCCGAUACGCCGUUUCUGGAGGGUGGGCGAGGGUGGUGGAAUUGCCGGUGUAGUGGUGAAAUGCGUAGAGAUCGGCAGGAACACCCGUGGCGCAAGCGGCCACCUAGCCCAUACCUGACGCUGAGGCGCGACAGCGUGGGGAGCGAACUGGAUUAGAUACCCAGGUAGUCCACGCCGUAAACGAUGCCGACUCGGUAUCCGUGGGGCGAAUAGCUCCGGGGGUGCCCCAGCUCACGCGGUAAGUCGGCCGCCUGGGG